CGACGCUUAUGCGUUGUUGGGUAGGGGAGCGUUCUGUAAGCCUGUGAAGGUGUACUGUGAGGUAUGCUGGAGGUAUCAGAAGUGCGAAUGCUGACAUAAGUAACGAUAAAGCGGGUGAAAAGCCCGCUCGCCGGAAGACCAAGGGUUCCUGUCCAACGUUAAUCGGGGCAGGGUGAGUCGACCCCUAAGGCGAGGCCGAAAGGCGUAGUCGAUGGGAAACAGGUUAAUAUUCCUGUACUUGGUGUUACUGCGAAGGGGGGACGGAGAAGGCUAUGUUGGCCGGGCGACGGUUGUCCCGGUUUAAGCGUGUAGGCUGGUUUUCCAGGCAAAUCCGGAAAAUCAAGGCCGAGGCGUGAUGACGAGGCACUACGGUGCUGAAGCAACAAAUGCCCUGCUUCCAGGAAAAGCCUCUAAGCAUCAGGUAACAUCAAAUCGUACCCCAAACCGACACAGGUGGUCAGGUAGAGAAUACCAAGGCGCUUGAGAGAACUCGGGUGAAGGAACUAGGCAAAAUGGUGCCGUAACUUCGGGAGAAGGCACGCUG
rnacentral:rRNA from 1 species